UACAGAGGUGGCAAGCGUUGUUCGGAAUUACUGGGCGUAAAGGGCGCGUAGGCGGUCUUUUAAGUCUUGUGUGAAAUCCCUCGGCUCAACUGAGGAACUGCACGGGAUACUGGAAGACUUGAGUUCGGGAGAGGGAAGCGGAAUUCCGGGUGUAGCGGUGAAAUGCGUAGAUAUCCGGAGGAGCACCGGUGGCGAAGGCGGCUUCCUGGACCGAUUACUGACGCUGAGGCGCGAAAGCUAGGGGAGCAAACGGG
rnacentral:rRNA from 1 species